rnacentral:rRNA from 1 species
GCGUUGUCCGGAAUUAUUGGGCGUAAAGAGCUCGUAGGCGGCUGGUCGCGUCUGCCGUGAAAGGCCUGGGCUUAACUUGGGUUUUGCGGUGGAUACGGGCCGGCUAGAGGUAGGUAGGGGAGAACGGAAUUCCUGGUGUAGCGGUGAAAUGCGCAGAUAUCAGGAGGAACACCGGUGGCGAAGGCGGUUCUCUGGGCCUAUCCUGACGCUGAGGAGCGAAAGCGUGGGGAGCGAACAGGAUUAGAUACCCUGGUAGUCCACGCUGUAAACGUUGGGCGCUAGGUGUGGGGUUCUUCCACGGGUCCCGUGCCGUAGCUAACGCAUUAAGCGCCCCGCCUGGGGAGUACGGCCGCAAGGCUAAAACUCAAAGGAAUUGACGGGGGCCCGCACAAGCGGCGGAGCAUGCGGAUUAAUUCGAUGCAACGCGAAGAACCUUACCUGGGCUUGACAUCGCCGGUAAUCCUCCAGAGAUGGGGGGUCCCUUCGGGGGCCGGUGACAG